rnacentral:rRNA from 1 species
AACGAACGCUGGCGGCAUGCCUAACACAUGCAAGUCGAACGAGACCUCCGGGUCUAGUGGCGCAUGGGUGCGUAACGCGUGGGAAGCUGCCCUUAGGUUCGGAAUAACUCCCUGAAAGGGGUGCUAAUACCGGAUAAUGUCUUCGGACCAAAGAUUUAUCGCCUUGGGAUGGGCCGGCGUUGCCAUAGCGAUGUGGAAGGGUAAAAGCCUACCUAGGCGACGAUCCAUAGCUGGGUUGAGGGGACGAUCAGCCACCCUGGGACAGGGACACGUCCCAGACUCUUGCGGAUGGCAGCAGGGGUGAACAAGGGACACUGGGCGAGAGCAGGAGGCAGCAGUGCCGUGAGAGUGAUGAAGUCGUUAGGAUUGUAAGGCUCUUUUACCCGGGAUGUUAUGAAGGGACCCGGAGGAAUAGCCUCCGGCUACCUCCGG